rnacentral:rRNA from 1 species
UACGAAGGGGGCUAGCGUUGCUCGGAAUCACUGGGCGUAAAGCGCACAUAGGCGGACUCUUAAGUCAGGGGUGAAAUCCUGGAGCUCAACUCCAGAACUGCCUUUGAUACUGGGAGCCUUGAGUUCGGGAGAGGUGAGUGGAACUGCGAGUGUAGAGGUGAAAUUCGUAGAUAUUCGCAAGAACACCAGUGGCGAAGGCGGCUCACUGGCCCGAUACUGACGCUGAGGUGCGAAAGCGUGGGGAGCAAACAGG